GAUGAACGCUAGCUACAGGCUUAACACAUGCAAGUCGAGGGGCAGCACAGUGUAGCAAUACAGUGGGUGGCGACCGGCGCACGGGUGCGUAACGCGUAUCCAACCUUCCCGUUACUCAGGGAUAGCCUUCCGAAAGGGAGAUUAAUACCUGAUGGUGUUGAAAUUCCGCAUGUUAUUUCAACUAAAGAUUUAUCGGUAACGGAUGAGGAUGCGUACGAUUAGCUGGUUGGCGGGGUAACGGCCCACCAAGGCGACGAUCGUUAGGGGUUCUGAGAGGAAGGUCCCCCACACUGGAACUGAGACACGGUCCAGACUCCUACGGGAGGCAGCAGUGAGGAAUAUUGGUCAAUGGGCGCGAGCCUGAACCAGCCAAGUAGCGUGAAGGAUGACUGCCCUACGGGUUGUAAACUUCUUUUGUUUGGGAAUAAAUGAUACUACGUGUAGUAUUUUGCAUGUACCUUACGAAUAAGCAUCGGCUAAUUCCGUG
rnacentral:rRNA from 1 species